UACGGAGGGGGCUAGCGUUGUUCGGAAUUACUGGGCGUAAAGCGCGCGUAGGCGGCUUUGUAAGUUAGAGGUGAAAAGCCCGGAGCUCAACUCCGGAAUUGCCUUUAAGACUGCAUCGCUAGAAUCAUGGAGAGGUGAGUGGAAAUUCCGAGUGUAGAGGUGAAAAUUCGUAGAUAUUCGGAAAGAACACCAGUGGCGAAGGCGACUCACUGGACAUGUAUUGACGCUGAGGUGCGAAAAGCGUGGGGAGCAAACAGG
rnacentral:rRNA from 1 species